rnacentral:lncRNA from 1 species
AAGUCUCAAAGCCUGUUUAUGGCGAGACCAGAUGCCAAGCGUGCCAGAAUCUGCUCGACCGCGCGAAGGCGAGCAGAAUCCCAAGCAUUGAAGAAUUUUCUAAGGCAUGCAAUGGCUCAUCAAGUCUCAAAGCCUGUUUAUGGCGACACCAGAUGCCAAGCGUGCCAGGAUCUGCUCGACCGCGCGAAGGCGAGCAGAAUCCCAAGCAUUGAAGAAUUUUCUAAGGCAUGCAAAGGCUCACCAAGUCUCAAAGCCUGUUUAUGGCGAGACCAGAAGCCAAGCGUGCCAGGAUCUGCUCGACCGCGCGAAGGCGAGCAGAAUCCCAAGCAUUGAAGAAUUUUCUAAGGCAUGCAAAGGCUCAUCAAGUCUCAAAGCCUGUUUAUGGCGAGACCAGAAGCCAAGCGUGCCAGGAUCCGCUCGACCGCGCGAAGGCGAGCAGAAUCCCAAGCAUUGAAGAAUUUUCUAAGGCAUGCAAAGCCUCAUCAAGUCUCAAAGCCUGUUUAUGGCGAGACCAGAUGCCAAGCGUGCCAGAAUCUGCUCGACCGCGCGAAGGCGAGCAGAAUCCCAAGCAUUGAAGAAUUUUCUAAGGCAUGCAAAGGCUCACGAAGUCUCGAAGCCUGUUUAUGGCGAGACCAGAAGCCAAGCGUGCCAGGAUCUGCUCGACCACGCGAAGGCGAGCAGAAUCCCAAGCAUUGAAGAAUUUUCUAAGGCAUGCAAAGGCUCAUCAAGUCUCAAAGCCUGUUUAUGGCGAGACCAGAUGCCAAGCGUGCCAGAAUCUGCUCGACCGCGCGAAGGCGAGCAGAAUCCCAAGCAUUGAAGAAUUUUCUAAGGCAUGCAAAGGCUCAUCAAGUCUCAAAGCCUGUUUAUGGCGAGACCAGAAGCCAAGCGUGCCAGGAUCCGCUCGACCGCGCGAAGGCGAGCUGAAUCCCAAGCAUUGAAGAAGUUUCUAAGGCAUGCAAAGGCUCAUCAAGUCUCAAAGCCUGUUUAUGGCGAGACCAGAAGCCAAGCGUGCCAGAAUCUGCUCGACCGCGCGAAGGCGAGCAGAAUCCCAAGCAUUGAAGAAUUUUCUACGUCAUGCAAAGGCUCACAAAGUCUCAAAGCCUGUUUAUGGCGAGACCAGAAGCCAAGCGUGCCAGGAUCUGCUCGACCGCGCGAAGGCAAGCUGAAAUCCCAGCAUUGAAGAAGUUUCUAAGGCAUGCAAAGGCUCACGAAGUCUCGAAGCCUGUUUAUGGCGAGACCAGAAGCCAAGCGUGCCAGGAUCUGCUCGACCACGCGAAGGCGAGCAGAAUCCCAAGCAUUGAAGAAUUUUCUAAGGCAUGCAAAGGCUCAUCAAGUCUCAAAGCCUGUUUAUGGCGAGACCAGAUGCCAAGCGUGCCAGAAUCUGCUCGACCGCGCGAAGGCGAGCAGAAUCCCAAGCAUUGAAGAAUUUUCUAAGGCAUGCAAAGGCUCAUCAAGUUUCAAAGCCUGUUUAUGGCGACACCAGAUGCCAAGAGUGCCAGGAUCUGCUCGACCGCGCGAAGGCGAGCUGAAUCCCAAGCAUUGAAGAAUUUUCUAAGGCAUGCAAAGGCUCACGAAGUCUCAAAGCCUGUUUAUGGCGAGACCAAAAGCCAAACGUGCCAGGAUCUGCUCGACCGCGCGAAGGCGAGCAGAAUACCAAGCAUUGAAGAAUUUCCUAAGGGAUGCAAAGGCUCAUCAAGUGUCAAAGCCUGUUUAUGGCCAGACCAGAUACCAAGGGUGCCAGAAUCUGCUCGACCGCGCGAAGGCGAGCAGGAUCCCAAGCAUUGAAGAAUUUUCUAAGGCAUGCAAUGGCUCAUCAAGUUUCAAAGCCUGUUUAUGGCGACACCAGAUGCCAAGCGUGCCAGGAUCUGCUCGACCGCGCGAGGGCGAGCAGAAUCCCAAGCAUUGAAGAAUUUUCUACGUCAUGCAAAGGCUCACAAAGUCUCAAAGCCUGUUUAUGGCGAGACCAGAAGCCAAGCGUGCCAGGAUCUGCUCGACCGCACGAAGGCGAGCAGAAUCCCAAGCAUUGAAGAAUUUUCUAAGGCAUGCAAAGGCUCAUCAAGUCUCAAUGCCUGUUUAUGGCGAGACCAGAUGCCAAGCGGGCCAGAAUCUGCUCGACCGCGCGAAGGCGAGCAGAAUCCCAAGCAUUGAAGAAUUUUCUAAGGCAUGCAAAGGCUCACGAAGUCUCAAAGCCUGUUUAUGGCGAGACCAGAUGCCAAGCGUGCCAGAAUCUGCUCGACCGCGCGAAGGCGAGCAGAAUCCCAAGCAUUGAAGAAUUUUCUAAGGCAUGCAAUGGCUCAUCAAGUUUCAAAGCCUUUUUAUGGCGACACCAGAUGCCAAGCGUGCCAGAAUCUGCUCGACCGCGCGAAGGCGAGCAGAAUCCCAAGCAUUGAAGAAUUUUCUAAGGCAUGCAAUGGCUCAUCAAGUUUCAAAGCCUUUUUAUGGCGACACCAGAUGCCAAGCGUGCCAGGAUCUGCUCGACCGCGCGAAGGCGAGCAGAAUCCCAAGCAUUGAAGAAUUUUCUACGUCAUGCAAAGGCUCACAAAGUCUCAAAGCCUUUUUAUGGCGAGACCAGAAGCCAAGCGUGCCAGGAUCUACUCGACCGCGCGAGGCGAGCAGAAUUCCCAAGCAUGAAGAAUUUAUAAGGCAUGCAAAGGCUCAUCAAGUCUCAAAGCCUGUUAUGGCGAGACCAGAUGCCAAGGGUGCCAGAAUCUGCUCGACCGCGCGAAGGCGAGCAGAAUCCCAAGCAUUGAAGAAUUUUCUAAGGCAUGCAAAGGCUCACGAAGUCUCGAAGCCUGUUUAUGGCGAGACCAGAAGCCAAGCGUGCCAGGAUCUGCUCGACCACGCGAAGGCGAGCAGAAUCCCAAGCAUUGAAGAAUUUUCUAAGGCAUGAAAAGGCUCAUCAAGUCUCAAAGCCUGUUUAUGGCGAGACCAGAUGCCAAGCGUGCCAGAAUCUGCUCGUCCGCGCGAAGGCGAGCCGAAUCCCAAGCAUUGAAGAAUUUUCUAAGGUAUGCAAAGGCUCAUCAAGUUUCAAAGCCUGUUUAUGGCGACACCGGAUGCCAAGCGUGCCAGGAUCUGCUCGACCGCGCGAAGGCGAGCAGAAUCCCAAGCAUUGAAGAAUUUUCUAAGGCAUGCAAAGGCUCACGAAGUCUCAAAGCCUGUUUAUGGCGAGACCAGAAGCCAAGCGUGCCAGGAUCUGCUCGACCGCGCGAAGGCGAGCAGAAUCCCAAGCAUUGAAGAAUUUUCUAAGGCAUGCAACGGCUCACUAAAUCUCAAAGCCUGUUUAUGGGGAGACCAAAAGCCAAGCGUGCCAGGAUCUGCUCGACCGCGCGAAGGCGAGCAGAAUCCCAAGCAUUGAAGAAUUUUCUAAGGCAAGCGAAUGCUCACGAAGUCUCGACGCCUGUUUAUGGCGAGACCAGAAGCCAAGCGUGCCAGGAUCUGCUCGACCACGCGAAGGCGAGCAGAAUCCCAAGCAUUGAGGAAUUUUCUAAGGCAUGCAAAGGCUCAUCAAGUUUCAAAGCCUGUUUCUGGCUAGACCAGAUGCCAAGCGUGGCAGAAUCUGCUCGACCGCGCGAAGGCGAGCAGAAUCCCAAGCAUUGAAGAAUUUUCUAAGGCAUGCAAAGGCUCAUCAAGUCUCAAUGCCUGUUUAUGGCGAGACCAGAUGCCAAGCGUGCCAGAAUCUGCUCGACCGCAAGAAGGCGAGCAGAAUCCCAAGCAUUGAAGAAUUUUCUAAGGCAUGCAAAGGCUCAUCAAGUCUCAAUGCCUGUUUAUGGCGAGACCAGAUGCCAAGCGUGCCAGAAUCUGCUCGACCGCAAGAAGGCGAGCAGAAUCCCAAGCAUUGAAGAAUUUUCUAAGGCAUGCAAUGGCUCAUAGAGUUUCAAAGCCUGUUUAUGGCGACACCAGAUGCCAAGCGUGCCAGGAUCUGCUCGACCGCGCGAAGGCGAGCAGAAUCCCAAGCAUUGAAGAAUUUUCUAAGGCAUGCAAAGGCUCAUCAAGUCUCAAAGCCUGUUUAUGGCGAGACCAGAUGCCAAGCGUGCCAGAAUCUGCUCGACCGCGCGAAGGCGAGCAGAAUCCCAAGCAUUGAAGAAUUUUCUACGUCAUGCAAAGGCUCACAAAGUCUCAAAGCCUUUUUAUGGCGAGACCAGAAGCCAAGCGUGCCAGGAUCUACUCGACCGCACGAAGGCGAGCAGAAUCCCAAGCAUUGAAGAAUUUUCUAAGGCAUGCAAAGGCUCAUCAAGUCUCAAAGCCUGUUUAUGGCGAGACCAGAUGCCAAGCGUGCCAGAAUCUGCUCGACCGCAAGAAGGCGAGCAGAAUCCCAAGCAUUGAAGAAUUUUCUAAGGCAUGCAAUGGCUUAUAGAGUUUCAAAGCCUGUUUAUGGCGACACCAGAUGCCAAGCGUGCCAGGAUCUGCUCGACCGCGCGAAGGCGAGCAGAAUCCCAAGCAUUGAAGAAUUUUCUAAGGCAUGCAAAGGCUCAUCAAGUCUCAAAGCCUGUUUAUGGCGAGACCAGAUGCCAAGCGUGCCAGAAUCUGCUCGACCGCGCGAAGGCGAGCAGAAUCCCAAGCAUUGAAGAAUUUUCUAAGGCAUGCAAAGGCUCAUCAAGUCUCAAAGCCUGUUUAUGGCGAGACCAGAAGCCAAGCGUGCCAGGAUCUGCUCGACCACGCGAAGGCGAGCAGAAUCCCAAGCAUGAAGGAAUUUUUAAGGGCAUGCAAAGGCUCAUCAAGUUUUCAAAGCCUGUUUCUGGCUAGACCAGAUGCCAAGCGUGGCAGAAUCUGCUCGACCGCGCGAAGGCGAGCAGAAUCCCAAGCAUUGAAGAAUUUUGUAAGGCAUGCAAAGGCUCAUCAAGUCUCAAUGCCUGUUUAUGGCGAGACCAGAUGCCAAGCGGGCCAGAAUCUGCUCGACCGCGCGAAGGCGAGCAGAAUCCCAAGCAUUGAAGAAUUUUCUAAGGCAUGCAAAGGCUCACGAAGUCUCAAAGCCUGUUUAUGGCGAGACCAGAAGCCAAGCGUGCCAGGAUCUGCUCGACCACGCGAAGGCGAGCAGAAUCCCAAGCAUUGAGGAAUUUUCUAAGGCAUGCAAAGGCUCAUCAAGUUUCAAAGCCUGUUUCUGGCUAGACCAGAUGCCAAGCGUGGCAGAAUCUGCUCGACCGCGCGAAGGCGAGCAGAAUCCCAAGCAUUGAAGAAUUUUCUAAGACAUGCAAAUGCUCACCAAGUCUCAAAGCCUGUUUAUGGCGACACCAGAUGCCAAGAGUGCCAGGAUCUGCUCGACCGCGCGAAGGCGAGCUGAAUCCCAAGCAUUGAAGAAUUUUCUAAGGCAUGCAAAGGCUCACGAAGUCUCAAAGCCUGUUUAUGGCGAGACCAAAAGCCAAACGUGCCAGGAUCUGCUCGACCGCGCGAAGGCGAGCAGAAUACCAAGCAUUGAAGAAUUUCCUAAGGGAUGCAAAGGCUCAUCAAGUGUCAAAGCCUGUUUAUGGCCAGACCAGAUACCAAGGGUGCCAGAAUCUGCUCGACCGCGCGAAGGCGAGCAGGAUCCCAAGCAUUGAAGAAUUUUCUAAGGCAUGCAAUGGCUCAUCAAGUUUCAAAGCCUGUUUAUGGCGACACCAGAUGCCAAGCGUGCCAGGAUCUGCUCGACCGCGCGAGGGCGAGCAGAAUCCCAAGCAUUGAAGAAUUUUCUACGUCAUGCAAAGGCUCACAAAGUCUCAAAGCCUGUUUAUGGCGAGACCAGAAGCCAAGCGUGCCAGGAUCUGCUCGACCGCACGAAGGCGAGCAGAAUCCCAAGCAUUGAAGAAUUUUCUAAGGCAUGCAAAGGCUCAUCAAGUCUCAAAGCCUGUUUAUGGCGAGACCAGAUGCCAAGCGUGCCAGAAUCUGCUCGACCGCGCGAAGGCGAGCAGAAUCCCAAGCAUUGAAGAAUUUUCUAAGGCAUGCAAAGGCUCACGAAGUCUCGAAGCCUGUUUAUGGCGAGACCAGAAGCCAAGCGUGCCAGGAUCUGCUCGACCGCGCGAAGGCGAGCAGAAUCCCAAGCAUUGAAGAAUUUUCUAAGGCAUGCAAAGGCUCAUCAAGUCUCAAAGCCUGUUUAUGGCGAGACCAGAUGCCAAGCGUGCCAGAAUCUGCUCGACCGCGCGAAGGCGAGCCGAAUCCCAAGCAUUGAAGAAUUUUCUAAGGUAUGCAAAGGCUCAUCAAGUUUCAAAGCCUGUUUAUGGCGACACCGGAUGCCAAGCGUGCCAGGAUCUGCUCGACCGCGCGAAGGCGAGCAGAAUCCCAAGCAUUGAAGAAUUUUCUAAGGCAUGCAAAGGCUCACGAAGUCUCAAAGCCUGUUUAUGGCGAGACCAGAAGCCAAGCGUGCCAGGAUCUGCUCGACCGCGCGAAGGCGAGCAGAAUCCCAAGCAUUGAAGAAUUUUCUAAGGCAUGCAACGGCUCACUAAAUCUCAAAGCCUGUUUAUGGCGAGACCAAAAGACAAGCGUGCCAGGAUCUGCUCGACCGCGCGAAGGCGAGCAGAAUCCCAAGCAUUGAAGAAUUUUCUAAGGCAAGCGAAUGCUCACGAAGUGUCGACGCCUGUUUAUGGCGAGACCAGAAGCCAAGCGUGCCAGGAUCUGCUCGACCACGCGAAGGCGAGCAGAAUCCCAAGCAUUGAGGAAUUUUCUAAGGCAUGCAAAGGCUCAUCAAGUUUCAAAGCCUGUUUCUGGCUAGACCAGAUGCCAAGCGUGGCAGAAUCUGCUCGACCGCGCGAAGGCGAGCAGAAUCCCAAGCAUUGAAGAAUUUCUAAGACAUGCAAAUGCUCACCAAGUCUCAAAGCCUGUUUAUGGCGAGACCAGAUGCCAAGCGUGCCAGAAUAUGCUCGACCGCGCGAAGGUGAGCAGAAUCCCAAGCAUUGAAGAAUUUUCUACGUCAUGCAAAGGCUCACAACGUCUCAAAGCCUGUUUAUGGCGAGACCAGAUGCCAAGCUUGCCAGGAUCUGCUCGACCGCACGAACGCGAGCAGAAUCCCAAGUAUUGAAGAAUUUUCUAAGGCAUGCAAAGGCUCAUCAAGUUUCAAAGCCUGUUUAUGGCGAGACCAGAUGCCAAGCGUACCAGGAUCUGCUCGACCGCGCGAAGGCGNNNNNNNNNNNNNNNNNNNNNNNNNNNNNNNNNNNNNNNNNNNNNNNNNNNNNNNNNNNNNNNNNNNNNNNNNNNNNNNNNNNNNNNNNNNNNNNNNNNNUCAAAGCCUGUUUAUGGCGAGACCAGAAGCCAAGCGUGCCAGGAUCUGCUCGACCCUGCGAAGGCGAGCAGAAUCCCAAGCAUUGAAGAAUUUUCUAAGGCAUGCAAUGGCUUAUCAAGUCUCAAAGCCUGUUUAUGGCGAGACCAGAUGCCAAGCGUGCCAGGAUCUGCUCGACAGUGCGAAGGCGAGCAGAAUCCCAAGCAUUGAAGAAUUUUCUAAGGCAUGCAAAGCCUCAUCAAGUCUCAAAGCCUGUUUAUGGCGAGACCAGAUGCCAAGCGUGCCAGAAUCUGCUCGACCGCGCGAAGGCGAGCAGAAUCCCAAGCAUUGAAGAAUUUUCUAAGGCAUGCAAAGGCUCACGAAGUCUCGAAGCCUGUUUAUGGCGAGACCAGAAGCCAAGCGUGCCAGGAUCUGCUCGACCACGCGAAGGCGAGCAGAAUCCCAAGCAUUGAAGAAUUUUCUAAGGCAUGCAAAGGCUCAUCAAGUCUCAAAGCCUGUUUAUGGCGAGACCAGNNNNNNNNNNNNNNNNNNNNNNNNNNNNNNNNNNNNNNNNNNNNNNNNNNNNNNNNNNNNNNNNNNNNNNNNNNNNNNNNNNNNNNNNNNNNNNNNNNNNCAAAGCCUGUUUAUGGCGAGACCAGAAGCCAAGCGUGCCAGGAUCCGCUCGACCGCGCGAAGGCGAGCUGAAUCCCAAGCAUUGAAGAAGUUUCUAAGGCAUGCAAAGGCUCAUCAAGUCUCAAAGCCUGUUUAUGGCGAGACCAGAAGCCAAGCGUGCCAGAAUCUGCUCGACCGCGCGAAGGCGAGCAGAAUCCCAAGCAUUGAAGAAUUUUCUACGUCAUGCAAAGGCUCACAAAGUCUCAAAGCCUGUUUAUGGCGAGACCAGAAGCCAAGCGUGCCAGGAUCUGCUCGACCGCGCGAAGGCAAGCUGAAUCCCAAGCAUUGAAGAAGUUUCUAAGGCAUGCAAAGGCUCAUCAAGUCUCAAAGCCUGUUUAUGGCGAGACCAGAAGCCAAGCGUGCCAGGAUCCGCUCGACCGCGCGAAGGCGAGCAGAAUACCAACCAUUGAAGAAUUUUCUAAGGCAUUCAAAGGCUCAUCAAGUUUCAAAGCCUGUUUAUGGCGACACCAGAUGCCAAGAGUGCCAGGUUCUGCUCGACCGCGCGAAGGCGAGCUGAAUCCCAAGCAUUGAAGAAUUUUCUAAGGCAUGCAAAGGCUCACAAAGUCUCAAAGCCUGUUUAUGGCGAGACCAGAAGCCAAGCGUGCCAGGAUCUGCUCGACCGCGCAAAGGCGAGCAGAAUCCCAAGCAUUGAAGAAUUUCCUAAGGGAUGCAAAGGCUCAUCAAGUGUCAAAGCCUGUUUAUGGCCAGACCAGAUACCAAGGGUGCCAGAAUCUGCUCGACCGCGCGAAGGCGAGCAGAAUCCCAAGCAUUGAAGAAUUUUCUAAGGCAUGCAAAGGCUCAUCAAGUCUCAAAGCCUGUUUAUGGCGAGACCAGAAGCCAAGCGUGCCAGGAUCCGCUCGACCGCGCGAAGGCGAGCAGAAUCCCAAGCAUUGAAGAAUUUUCUACGUCAUGCAAAGGCUCACAAAGUCUCAAAGCCUGUUUAUGGCGAGACUAGAAGCCAAGCGUGCCAGGAUCUGCUCGACCGGACGAAGGCGAGCAGAAUCCCAAGCAUUGAAGAAUUUUCUAAGGCAUGCAAAGGCUCAUCAAGUCUCAAUGCCUGUUUAUGGCGAGACCAGAUGCCAAGCGGGCCAGAAUCUGCUCGACCGCGCGAAGGCGAGCAGAAUCCCAAGCAUUGAAGAAUUUUCUAAGGCAUGCAAAGGCUCAUCAAGUCUCAAUGCCUGUUUAUGGCGAGACCAGAUGCCAAGCGGGCCAGAAUCUGCUCGACCGCGCGAAGGCGAGCAGAAUCCCAAGCAUUGAAGAAUUUUCUAAGGCAUGCAAAGGCUCACGAAGUCUCAAAGCCUGUUUAUGGCGAGACCAGAUGCCAAGCGUGCUAGAAUCUGCUCGACCGCGCGAAGGCGAGCAGAAUCCCAAGCAUUGAAGAAUUUUCUAAGGCAUGCAAUGGCUCAUCAAGUUUCAAAGCCUUUUUAUGGCGACACCAGAUGCCAAGCGUGCCAGGAUCUGCUCGACCGCGCGAGGGCGAGCAGAAUCCCAAGCAUUGAAGAAUUUUCUACGUCAUGCAAAGGCUCACAAAGUCUCAAAGCCUUUUUAUGGCGAGACCAGAAGCCAAGCGUGCCAGGAUCUACUCGACCGCACGAAGGCGAGCAGAAUCCCAAGCAUUGAAGAAUUUUCUAAGGCAUGCAAAGGCUCAUCAAGUCUCAAAGCCUGUUUAUGGCGAGAC